rnacentral:rRNA from 1 species
UACGUAGGGGGCUAGCGUUGUCCGGAAUCAUUGGGCGUAAAGAGCGUGUAGGCGGCCCGGUAAGUCCGCUGUGAAAGUCAAAGGCUCAACCUUUGAAUGUCAGCGGAUACUGCCGGGCUAGAGUCCGGAAGAGGCGAGUGGAACUCCUGGUGUAGCGGUGGAAUGCGCAGAUAUCAGGAAGAACACCAACGGCGAAGGCAGCUCGCUGGGACGGUACUGACGCUGAGACGCGAAAGCGUGGGGAGGCGAACAGG